UAUAAACUCUUCAGAGCCCAUUAAUUAAUUGGACUUAGACUUGGAGGAAGAGCCAUAAAAAUAAUUUUAACUAUUAAUGAUUGAUGGAUUCAUUGAGGAAGGGAGAUGAUGGUAUUUUCGGCCAUUCACAUUGAAAACUUCCAUUCUGUGUGAGCUACUUUGAAAAAGUAUAGAAAAACUCAUGUUAACCAUUCCGUUAAUCUCAGAUGUUGGUUUGCUUUUUUUGUUUUUUUUGUUUUUUUGUUUUGACACGUGGCUGUAUCUGAGUUAAUCUUCCUCCUCCUCCUGCUUCUCCUCUUCCUCUCCACCCACUUCUGUCAACAGCACUCUGCUUCCUUCUCCAAACUGGUUUUCAUUGCCCAUGUCCAUGCUUGAAAUCACACUAAGCCUGUUGCUCCCUCCUCCCUCUUUCUUGGACCUUUGCCGCCUUCCUUGCUAACCUCAUGCUCAACAGGAAGCAUGCUUUCCUAAUUAGGCUGUGAACCCCGGUGUGUGACCUCACAGCUAUCUGCAACCAUUGUCUGAGGGGAGAAUCCCAGCACACAGACAGGAGACAAGGAGAAAGAUGGAGAAGGGAAGUGGGGAGAGGGAAGAGAACCCUAGUUUUCUGUGAGUCCCCAACCCCACUGGUCUUAGAACCAACAUCAACCUGUGUUCUUAGGUUGUAUUAUAUGCACGACUGAGGCUUCCUUUGCACCUAAGUGAAUGUAGUGCCCAUUUGUCUUUUGCAAAAAGAUUUUGAUUGAUAUCAGGGCAUUACUCACCACAGUUCCGUAUUCUAGAAUAACAACAACUUUGAGAGUCAUGUGCACACAUGGCAGCAUUUGACAGGAAACAUAAAAGGCAACAAUUGAAACUCGUGGUGCUGGAAGACAGAAUAGUCUUUAUUUCAGGAUGACUGGGACUUUCUGUGAAUUCUUUGUCCCACAUAAUUAGGUUUUGGGAAACGUGGUUUUGCAAAUAUCUCUCUCUUCAGAUCUAUGCAAUUGGUAUUUUGUACUUGUAACUAGACUGGCAGGGGAGGGGUAUCAUGAGGAGUGUGCAUACUUUCAAGGACAUGAAGAACUCUUUGAGGAAACAAACCCUUCGAAUAUCUUGCUUUUGACUGACUUUAGUCAGCAGUUUAAACAGCUGGGUGGGGUUGGUCUCUCUCAGCUCCCAUCUCUCCAUCCAUGCUAUUAAGACAGGAUCUUUUUCUAGUUACAGCUGUUAAGAUAAAAAUUUGAAUAGAGGAAAGGGGACAGAUUAGAGCAACAGUAGGAAGAAGAAUCCCUGUGGCCUCCAAAGACAGUGAUCUAAUAUCUGAAGAGCUGUUUUCGGUAUUCAGAAAUCCCAAAAGUUAAUCCUCGGUAAGGUCAGCAUGUUUAGCUGGAAAAACACGACAGAGCAUGAGGGUGCAAGGGGGAGAUAACAAAAGGAAAAAGCUCAGUUAUAACCAGAUGACCUCCAGUGACAUGCUCUUCCCCAUUAAGCUGAUUUAAUUAGAGCCACAAAACCAUCAGGCAGUCGGGGACACAGUAGAGUUUUAGAUAAAAGUGUUCUUUUGGUUCAAAGCAUCCUUUCUCAGUGCUGAUUUUUAUAAGGCUAGUGAAAUAAUUAAUGAGAAUAUAAGAAUUCAUCAGACAUUUUCAUCUUUGCUUUCUUUGCUUUCAAAACUGCUUAGUCUAGCUUACCUCAGUGUCUCUGCCCCUGGAAUAAGGUUGGGAAGAAUGGGACUUUUCAGUCCAUGUCACAAACAACCCUGUGUUCCUUCCCUACUCUUAUCACUCUCUAGUUAGUUAUUCAGUAGAAUUGUUCUUUCUGUCUUCAUGGAAGGCUGACCCAAUGGGCUCUGUGUUCCAGGUGAUUACCAAGCUGAUUGUGUCUGAUAUAGGUCUUCUUAGGUAGUAAUGGCAGAAUGUCAGGGCAGGGAGUUUGUCAAAUGCCUAGAAGAAUGGACAAGGAUCAGGAAAUGUGGGGUAGGCCUUGUGGACUGGUUGGUGGGAAGUGGCUUUGAGCAUCAGGGAGAUUAUGUGGGAACUGGGCAGGCCAAAAGCAGGGCUGUUGAUUGACAGGAAGACUAAUUCCUAUAAUGAGAGUUCUGCAUGUUAGAAAAGUAGAGGACUGCUGAGAGGCUAGCCUAGAGCAUGGAGGGAGUCAGGGAUGGAAGAUAUUUUAUUAGGUGGUGACCGUCAUUUAACCUAUCAGGUAGCAUUCUUUUAUCAAGCAAAGGAACUUGAAGUCCUAAGCACACAUUAGCACUGUUUAAUUGUGUGUGAUAUUUGGUGGGCAGUCUCCACCUACCAUAGCAGUGUUGACAAUUUAUCUUUGUAAAAGUAACUUUUAUUCACCAGAUAUAAUUGUUGUUUUGGAGGCUUACUGCUGAAUAAGUUCAUCCUUUUUGGUUCUUUCUGAACUCAGGCUGGCCAGUUCAACUCAGCUCUUCUGGCUCAAACUCCUCUACAAGCUGACUGAUUCAAUCUGGCUUCUCUCAGCUUCUCACGGAAUUGUUCUGCUAGUCCUCAGACCAACUCUGAUGUAAACAAUACGUUUGUAUGUCAGAGUCUGCAAAGGCAUUGAGAACAGAGAGCAGCAAGCUGAGGCUCCUAUUGGAGUGGGAUUGGACUCGCUCUGAGGAGGGUGAGUUCCAUCUAGACGAAUCUGGAAGAGCGUCAUGACCACAUCUCUGGCAGCAUGGAAAUGGAAGAUGGGCUUUGUGGAGGAAGAUUCAAUCUGUGGCCUUGGUGCACAGGGAAGCCAUGAAGGAGCUCUGGAUAGUUUUGUAGGAAGCGAUGUGUGCUGUGUAAUGGGAGGCUUUUGAGAGCCAUGAGUGAAGCUGGCAAUGACUAGAGGGCAGCGAAAGAGGGAUGAGGUACAAGAGCUCUUGUGAAAUGAAUUACACAGUUAAUAAAGUCGGGUGAUGGAA
rnacentral:sRNA from 1 species